GGGGCGUCAAAGCUUACCAAAGAAUAUCAAACUCCGAAUGCCAUGUAGAUGAUGAUCGGGAGUCAGACUGCACGAGAUAAGUUGGGCAGUCAAAAGGGAAAGAGCCCAGACCACCGGCUAAGGUCCCAAAGUGCGUGUUAAGUGGAAAAGGAUGUGGGAAUUCGAAGACAACUAGGAUGUUGGCUCAGAAGCAGCCAUACAUUCAAAGAGUGCGUAACAGCUCACUAGUCGAGAGUUCCUGCGCCGAAAAUGUCCGGGGCUGAAACACGACACCGAAGCCGUGGACUCGCAAUGCGAGUGGUAGAGGAGCAUUCUUAAAACCGACGAAGCUGUACCGGAAGGAGCAGUGGAGGGAUAAGAAGAGAGAAUGCCGGAAUGAGUAGCGAGAGAAAGGUGGGAAUCCUUUCGGCCGAAUAUCUAAGGUUUCCAGAGUAAAGCUGAUCUGCUCUGGGUAAGUCGGGGCCUAAGGCGAGGUCGAAAGACGUAGUCGAUGGAUAACAGGUUGAAAUUCCUGUACUAUCCUGUAACAGAACUGUGGGGACACAGGCAGAGAGCGUGAGCCGGGAAUGGAAAGACCGGUACAAGCGAGGUAGGAGAAGAGUUGGCAAAUCCGCUCUUUAAUCUGAAGACGUGAUGUGGACUGAAAAUAAGUAGGGAAGCACGUGAGCUGACUGUCAAGAAAAGCCGCUAUUGUUUGCAGGAUACCCGUACCGUAAACCGACACAGGUGGAUGAGGAGAGAAUCCUAAGGCCGACGGGAGAAGCAUUGUUAAGGAACUCGGCAAAAUGACUCCGUAACUUCGGGAGAAGGAGUGCCAGUGAGAGCUGGCCGCAGAGAAUUGGCCCAAGCAACUGUUUAGCAAAAACACAGGUCUAUGCAAAACCGAAAGGUGAGGUAUAUGGGCUGACGCCUGCCCGGUGCUGGAAGGUUAAGGGGAGAGGUUAGCGCAAGCGAAGCUUUGAACUUAAGCCCCAGUAAACGGCGGCCGUAACUAUAACGGUCCUAAGGUAGCGAAAUUCCUUGUCGGGUAAGUUCCGACCCGCACGAAAGGCGUAAUGAUUUGGGCACUGUCUCAACGAGAGACUCGGUGAAAUUUUAGUACCUGUGAAGAUGCAGGUUACCCGCGACAGGACGGAAAGACCCCAUGGAGCUUUACUGCAGUUUGAUAUUGAGUAUCUGUACCACAUGUACAGGAUAGGUAGGAGCCUAUGACCUCGGGACGCCAGUUUCGAGUGAGGCGUUGUUGGGAUACUACCCUUGUGUUAUGGCUACUCUAACCCAGAUAGGUUAUCCCUAUCGGAGACAGUGUCUGACGGGCAGUUUGACUGGGGCGGUCGCCUCCUAAAAGGUAACGGAGGCGCCCAAAGGUUCCCUCAGAAUGGUUGGAAAUCAUUCGCAGAGUGUAAAGGUAUAAGGGAGCUUGACUGCGAGAGCUACAACUCGAGCAGGGACGAAAGUCGGGCUUAGUGAUCCGGUGGUUCCGUAUGGAAGGGCCAUCGCUCAACGGAUAAAAGCUACCCUGGGGAUAACAGGCUUAUCUCCCCCAAGAGUUCACAUCGACGGGGAGGUUUGGCACCUCGAUGUCGGCUCGUCGCAUCCUGGGGCUGUAGUCGGUCCCAAGGGUUGGGCUGUUCGCCCAUUAAAGCGGCACGCGAGCUGGGUUCAGAACGUCGUGAGACAGUUCGGUCCCUAUCCGUCGCGGGCGUAGGAAAUUUGAGAGGAUCUGCUCCUAGUACGAGAGGACCAGAGUGGACUUACCGCUGGUGUACCAGUUGUUCUGCCAAGAGCAUCGCUGGGUAGCUAUGUAGGGAAGGGAUAAACGCUGAAAGCAUCUAAGUGUGAAGCCCACCUCAAGAUGAGAUUUCCCAUGAUUUUAUAUCAGUAAGAGCCCUGAGAGAUGAUCAGGUUGAUAGGUUAGAAGUGGAAGUGUGGUGACACAUGUAGCGGACUAAUACUAAUAGCUCGAGGACUUAUCCAA
rnacentral:rRNA from 1 species